UGCAGUCGAACGAUGAAGCUGGAGCUUGCUCCGGCCGAUUAGUGGCGAACGGGUGAGUAACACGUGAGCAAUCUGCCCUUGACUCUGGGAUAACUGCGGGAAACUGUAGCUAAUACCGGAUACUUUCCUCGCUGGGCAUCCAGCGGGGAAGAAAGAAUUUCGGUCAAGGAUGAGCUCGCGGCCUAUCAGCUAGUUGGUGAGGUAAAGGCUCACCAAGGCGACGACGGGUAGCCGGCCUGAGAGGGUGACCGGCCACACUGGAACUGAGACACGGUCCAGACUCCUACGGGAGGCAGCAGUGGGGAAUAUUGCACAAUGGGCGAAAGCCUGAUGCAGCAACGCCGCGUGAGGGAUGAAGGCCUUCGGGUUGUAAACCUCUUUUAGCAGGGAAGAAGCGAAAGUGACGGUACCUGCAGAAAAAGCACCGGCUAACUACGUGCCAGCAGCCGCGGUAAUACGUAGGGUGCAAGCGUUGUCCGGAAUUAUUGGGCGUAAAGAGCUCGUAGGCGGUUUGUCACGUCUGCUGUGAAAAUCCGAGGCUCAACCUCGGACUUGCAGUGGGUACGGGCAGGCUAGAGUGCGGUAGGGGAGAAGGGAAUUCCUGGUGUAGCGGUGGAAUGCGCAGAUAUCAGGAGGAACACCAAUGGCGAAGGCACUUCUCUGGGCCGUAACUGACGCUGAGGAGCGAAAGCGUGGGGAGCGAACAGGAUUAGAUACCCUGGUAGUCCACGCCGUAAACGGUG
rnacentral:rRNA from 1 species